GGGAGGGGGGACCCCCAGACGCCGUGUCCGUGCUCUGCAGUCUGUGGGCUCAGUGAGGGUACGGAUGCCAGCAGACGGUCCCGGCAUCUUCCCCAGACGGCUGCUUUGGGGCCACGGCCAUGAGAGGGGCUGGCCUUAGUUCAUGGCCAAUUCAGACCAAGCUGAAGGCUGACGGAACUUGGGGAGGGAGGCGGUGACAGCCACAGUUGGCCAGUAGCCUCUUUUACUAACCGUCUUUACCAUCCAUCCAUGUAGCUUAAGAAACUGGUGCCUGGUGGGGGCUCAGACCACGGAGCUGUCUAGGCCUGCUUCUCGCUGCUGCCUUCCCCCCAGCCUCCCGCCCUUCCUGGGAUGACUCAUGUUAAAAAAUGGUUUAUUUUCUCAGACUCACUUUUUUUACUAAGCCUGGAAAAAUGACAAGAGCUGGUACCAGAAGAAUUACGCCCUGUCACGGAACUGUUUUCCCCAUGGAGUUCAACAUCAACACAUCUUUGAUGCACUGGAACAGCAAAACAAGGCCUGGGCUGGAGCAAGGGCAGCGGUGGCACUGGGCCGCCAAGCGGGCUGCGCGGCUGCCCAGGAAGGCGGGGGGUAGGGACUCGGUCCCCGAAGGGGCCAGGAAGAAAAACCAGCAUAUGCUGCAGGCGCCGUGCGCGUCCAUCCCCGAGCACGGAGCUUUUCUGGAGGGCGUCUCAUUGAACCUUCACCACAUCUCACGCUGGCAUGGAGAGCCCUGUGUCACCCAGGAGGAAACUGAGGCUCCGAGAAGCAAGGGAUGGAGUCCAGAUCUGUGUAGGAGCACGAGGACUUCCAACUGCCCAAGAGGAGAUGAGAGAAGAAGAGGGAAAGAAAGAGGAAGACGAAAAGAGACGCACAGAAAAAGACAGAGCCCCAGCUGCAGAGGCAGCCGCAGAAGGAGGUGACCCAAGAGGUCUAGCCCAAACCCUGCUGCUGCGGUCAAGUCCCUCUCUCUGGUCCUCCAGCUCCAUCGAUGGAGGAACAGCUGCUCCCUGACCUCAGGAUGACAGAUGCUGCUCACCCCUCUUUUUUCCCAGUCUGCAAAGAAUCCAUAAAUAAUCUAAUUCUGGUCCACUUCUGAUACUAACUCACCACAGCUUUUGGAAAUGUCACUUUGCCCUCCCUGAGUGUCCAAAACAUGUUUUGAAUUUAGCAGGCACGUCCAUCUAAUCCACGAUCUGGGGAAAGAUUAACACACAGAUACGUCCAGCAAGGUCGACCUGCAACCCCACUCUGCCAACGCACUAAGGGAGCCUUGUCAGGAACUACAGGGCAAGUUAUGCCCGGAAAACAGCAACACACAAUUUAAUGAAUGCUGCGUCUGUUCACAUUUCUCUUCCCAAGGCAAACUCUUUAAGAGCAGUGGCCAGCUGUAAGCAAUGCCUUUCACGUUCAUGCACACAUACAUAUACAUCAUGGAAACAAAAAUUACCCCACAUCUACUUAUUUUUGCUGUGUGCAGUGCACUGUUUUCUCCUAUCCUCGUCUUUGAAACGCUGAUCAUGACCCACGAAAGUGACUUUCUAAGCCACCGACGAGCUGUGAUACGCAGUUUGAAAAACACCGAUUCCAGAAAGCCUCUGCCCCUUUGAGGAGUGGCUCGCGUACAGUCUAACCUAAGUUCAGAUUUCGUGAUCGUUGGAAGGUUUCAUCCUAAGAAACCAGAAGGCACUUAUUAAACAAAGAGAUCAUUAGUUUUAACACUAGAAAUGUCCACAUAAGACAGGGUGGUUAACGGACUUGUGUCC